UCCAUUCUCCUGUCAAGCGAGCCGACGGCGCCCUCACUCGCUCGCAGUUCUUUGUGUCCUCUUGCUUUCGAUUCUGCAUCGCCAUCCCUCUCGCCCUCCUCCACUGCUCUCCGCUUGCUGGCUUGGGGAAAAAGGUGUUGAUGCUAGACGCUGAGUCAACAUUUUCAGCUGUGUUGCGAGCUUCCCUGCCGGCUUUGUGCAGCUCGUCCUUCUGUGUGUCCCUCUCGACCCCUCCACGUGCCGCCUCCAGUGCUACCCCCGGUAUCAUCAUCAACGCUGCCCCUUCACCCCAUCCCACCCCCAGCUCUUUGCUGCCUCCCUUCCCUUGUUCGCCUGUGCACCACUCCGGGCUCGGAGAGCAGCUCUCACCUCCACCAUCCCGUUCUCUCCCGCCGCCGCACACGUUCGUCUCAUGAGCCACGGCGGAGAUAAGACACCCGGUGCCGCUACAGUGGCACCGCCGCCUGCACUCAGUGCAAACAAGAAGCACGACCGCAGCAGCGGCAGCUAUGCCAAGAGUUACGGCCGUGAAAGCUAUGAGAAACACAAGGCGAAGCAGGUGCGCUCCUUGCAGCCUCCUCAGGAACCGCUGAGGCAGGUCAACGCCAACGCUGCCGCGGUGCCUCUCAGCACCGAACCGUCCCUGCGGCCCUUCGCUCCACACGAGCCAGUUGGGCUGGAGUUGUCACUGCCUUCGUCGACGGACUUCGACGACGGCGAGGUUGAGGUGAGCCCACUCACAACGCCAUCGCAGUCGUAUGUUCCGAAGCAUCGGCGCCGCCAGGGUGGCGAUCACGUGCGCCCGUUGCAGCAGGAUGUCGCAGCCGCAAAGGUGCUGCGGCACACUCCCCCUCUACCACAUCAGUUACAACAGCAUGCUGACCCGACCGCGCUGCCAGAGCAUCGGCGCGUCGCCCUUUCCAAAGGCAGCGAAGAACUCCUACAGCAUCAUGCGACUGGAAAGGAGAACAUGAGCAUUGGCUCUCACGCGGCGCCGUCUCCUGCUGGUGCCACAGCCGCUUCAGCAACCUCGCUGCAGUCGGUGCCGAAGCCCGCGUCUUCUGCAGAAGUGAAGCAGCGCACUGUGAGCUCCGCGUUCCAUCCGGCCACCUCUGCCGCCGCCGCCACGCCGGCCACCGACUUCCGUCGCACCGCCUCUGGCCACGUCCAUCAGCGUCCGCUCUCUUUAUCGGGUGCAGCCACUGCACCACGGCAAUCGCCAGUCCCAUCGACGCUCACGACGAGUGCCGGCCGACGCGGCGGCGCGACGGCUGCAAAAGUUCCACAAAAACGCAUCGCCAGUGUCAAGUCACGACCGCUGACCACCGCGGCACGCAAACAGCCGCCGUCUCUGUCCAACGCUGAAGCAGAAACGGCGGAGAGACACGAGUCUCCUGCGCCGACCCCAACAGCGGCCGAGCGGGAGCGCUCGCCAGAGAUGGACGCCGGGCUGCGAUACCAGCUGUACCAGAUGGAGUCGGUGCUCGACUAUGUGGCAGAGGUGGCGACGGCGCUGGGCGAAAGACGCCGGUGCGCGGCGCCUCCGCAAUCGACGAAGGGGUUCCGCGCCUCUGUCGUGCCCACUCGGCGCUGUGGUGGGACCAGCUCUUCCCCUGAGGCGCUGGACGGAAGCGAUGUUGACUUGCCAGACCACUCUGUGCGUGUUUGCAGCAGCGGCGGCACCGUUGCUUUUCUGCCCGACAUACACCAGGCCGCGAGCCGACUCCUCAGCGCCUUCACGAAGCUUGAGUACGUUCAGCUCAGCGAGGAUGUGGAUAUGCCGCUUCUCGAGCGCGACGCCGUGGAGUACAGCGCGCGGCUACUGCGACUCGUCGACGGGGUAGAGCGGCAGCUGUCGCUGCACGAAGACACACUCGUUCGUCGAAGGCUUUCAGAGCGCCGCGACAUCUUUCGCGCCAUGCACCAGCUGGUGCACUUUAUCGUCCGCAUGACCCACGAAGUGGUACUGCUCCGUGACUUGGCCCUGCGCCACGACUUGGGUCAGGUUUUGGAGGCGUGGGGCAGCUUCAGAGCAGGUGUUGAGGCCCAGGCCCAGGCGGCUGCAGACGCCAGCGACAUUUAUACCCGUGACAAGUCUGAAGACGCCGCAGCGUCGUCGGCUCCGCCGUUGCUGCGGAAGCACCUCAUCUUUCCAAUCGCGAUGAUGCGAGGGAGCUCGUUCUUCGUGUGGUUGGAAGGGCGGUGGCUCCCAGCGAUGCAGCAGUGGCGCAAGCUCGUCUUCGACGCACUCCAAGCGGCGAGCAGCGGCGACACUGAAGGCGCCAUUCGCCGUUCGCGGCAGGAGGCGCUACGGAUCGACGGCUUGGAGGAGAUCCUGCGCCCUGGCGAGACCAUCACCACCCUCCUCCGCGAGCAGGUGGAGCAGCCGAUUGAGGAGCUUGGUAGAGCCUUUUCGAUGAAACAAGCGGCCAUGGCUGCACUGCGCGAAGUACUGGAGGGCGCCGAGGCCACCGACGGCACACUGAACACCGCGCACCUGUCGAAAGCACUCACAGCCGCUCAGGCCUUCAUUGUGGUGCGUGGAGGGCGCGGCAGUGGAGUUGACGAGUUGGCUGCGAGUGUCGGUGGAGACAAGGAGGACGCCGAACUGGUGUGCCGCGCGGAAGAGCUCCUCGCACGUCUUGCCGAGGCAGAUGUGCUUCACCGCGCCACCAAGGCCGCGCUGCAGCACCCUGCGCCGGAGCUGGUGACUGCGCUGGAACACAUCACACGUGCCAACGAGCUGCUCCUUCUCUGGAGACGCGCGCGCGACGUGACGUCAGCUCAGACAGCUCUUGCUGCCGGUCGCGCAGCGCUGGACGCGUACAUGCAGCGGCUACACAGCGGACGUCUCUCCGACAACACGAGCUCGCUGAGCUCAACGAACGGCGAGGUCUCGACUGGCAAGUGCAUGACGCCGUCGCGCGUGAACGGCAGCUCCACUGCUGCGCCGGUGCCUUGGAUCGGCGACGGCUUCCCGGCCUCCUUCGACGUCCGUUCCCUGUACGUGGCCCACACGCCAGGCGGCCCAUGGUCGAAGGACCUUAGCAUGGCGUACAUGGAGCUCUGCGAAGUCUUUGGGACGCUGUACACCCAACGCCAGGCACGGCGGGAUCUGGAGCUGGCGCUGGCCCGCCCUUCUGUGGACGAUUACGGGGCUAGGCCCGCGGUCGCCCUUUCGCUCUCCCCGCAGGUGACACCCCGCCGCCCCACUCGCGAUGCCCUGUCGCCGGCCGACACACUGCAAGUCAGCGACGACGGUGCUAACGCGCACUGCCGCAGCUUACCUUGCUCCACCGGUGGGACGGGAGAGACCCACGCCAGUGACGGCAGCACGCCACCUGCGCAUAACGUGCCUAAUGGUCCAAGCGCAGAGGAACUGCACCGGUGCAUCCAGCAGGCCGAAGAGGCCGGCGUUGGCGGGCCGCUCGUCGAGGAAGCGCGCGCGCGGCUGCGUCUCCUGGACACGCUGCGGCUGAAGAUUCACUUCGACGCCCAGACGCGUGUGCUGCCCGUCGCCGACGCAGCGCAGGCCUCAUUUCACGACGUCUAUAAGCAAAUCCAUGACUUCUGCCAGACGCAGCUGCAGCAGCCGCAGCGGGCCGCGGGGGCUGAGCGCCGACUGCGUAUUCGCUACGAGGACACCGAAGGUGACUUCAUCUCUCUCCUGGAUCAGCAAGACUGGCACAUGAUGCUGAGCGAGUUGGCGCCGCGUGGGUGUGGUGGAGUCAAGAUCGAGCUCUUCUGCGACUACCCCACGGUACCUGGCAUGAUGAACAACUCCAUGGCUGUCCCGAACGGCGAUGACGUGCCGCGCACCGGUGUUGAGUCGGAGCUGGCAAGCGGUGACUUUCAAACAGAGACCGCACCAGAGGCUAGCACACCAGCUGGCCCUGCUGCUGUAGUCGGGUCCGCCGCUGCCACGCCAGAGAAGCGGACGAAUGUGUUUCAGCGCCUCGCGUCGGCGUCGAAAAGCUCUGCCGUGGCGCCAGCAGCCAGCGCGCAGCGCAAGCCGCGGAUGCACCCUCAUUCCCUCGGGGCUACGUCGCCGCAUCGAGCACUUCUGCCGCCGCGCACUCGUGGCAUCGGCUCUGGUGCAGUUCGCACUGUGUCCCCGCAGAAGGGCGGCGCAGCUUCUCGCGCCGCUGUCGGCGGUGGCUCUGCGCGCGGGAAGGACUCAUCUUCCUCGGCUGCCACAGGCGCGGCGGCCCCGAAGACAGCGGCGCUCACCGCAGCGAACCUGCGGCGUAACCUGCUCUACCGGCAGGCGCCGCCCUGCCCUGAAGGCGCGGAGGCUGCGGUUCAGGAGGAGGUGCGGCGAUCAGGUGGGCGAUCUUCUAGCGAUGGGGUGACCACUGUGGCCAGACCGGCAGCGGCAGAAGCCGAUGGCUACAAAGCCGCAAGCACUGUAGCGCCGGCCUCAGCAGCUGCGGCUCACAACUCGGUGCGCAACGGCAACGCGAACGGUUACGGGGAGCGGGAAAGCAGCGCGGCGAACCUCAACCUCGACAUGGCCCGGCGCUGGGAAAUGCCGAGUGACGACGAGCUGCAGCUGCUGGAGAUACAGACGCGCGCCUCCAUGUCAACCGUGUGCCCCAGCCGAUGCAUCGAGAUGCCCGAGUCCAUGACGACGACGUCGCGGCCGACAGGGGUGCCCUCGAGAGCCGGGCCGCCGCGCAACACGUUCACUGCAACUUACUGCUCUCGCAAAGUAGAGCGCAUCAGCGAGCGUGGCAGCGGCGGUGCCGACGAGGCGGUGAGCGACAUCGGUGAGGUGAGCACGGCGCCGAAGAGGCGCCUCUCCCAUUCGCCUUCUCGGCCGCCGCGCCGCUGGGCCUCUGACGCAUUCUCCUUGGACGACGUUGAAACUGUGUGUAGCGAGCGAUCGCGUCUGCCACAGCAGGCUUCUAUGCCGAAGGGACCCACGUCUCUGCCACCGCGCCCCGUCCACGCCGGAGGUGGCGGUGGCACUCGCACGCCGCAGCGCGUUCGGCGCGGUGCUCGCAGCACGCCCACUCGCUCCACCCCGGACGCCGGUGACGACGACCGCGACGGCGGCCAGGGGGACGGCCCAAACGCGUCCGAUGUGCUCUUUGAGGAGAUGCAGCGCAUGCGCGAGGCGAACACUCGGGCCAUGGCGCAGCGCAAGUCAUCAUGGCACUGACGACAGUGUGUGGAGGACUGUCACGGCGCUCGCGCUGCUAUGCGGACGACCACAAACACACAAUCGUGUCAGGGUAGUGGAAUGUCCUCGGUUUUCGUCGUUGUUGCUGCGUGCUCUCGUCGUGCUGGAAUGCCGGGGAUCAUCUACGCACCUGCUCCAUACACCACAACCACCACCCAUGAACCCCGCCUCCGCGUUGUCCAGAAAGCUACUUGUCAUCAUCUCUAUUUUCUUUCUUUUUCAUCUCGGUGGUGCUCCCCUUCUCUCUUGCGUGGGUGGGUGUGUCUUGGUUCUCCACACCAACUCACCCACACACCCCUGCCCACCUUUGUUCUAGAUGAUAAGGCGUAUGCGCGCUCGUUUCUUACCCCUUGCUCGCUUGUUUCACUUCUUGUAGACUCUUCACCCUCCUCCUUCCUCUCUCUUCUCUGGCUGGCACCACUGUCUGUGUGUGAGAGGUCUCGUCGUUCGCAUCACCCCUCUCCCUCUCUUGCCGAGUAUGCGCGAGUGCAUUGUGCGCAGUGCGUGUGCGUUGUACGUCCUUCGUGUCUCACGUGAUGGCUUCUCAGGCUGGGCGUGCCGCACCGCUCACUCGGUCGCUGUUGUUCUCUUGCUCGCUGGUUUUGGCACCCCACUCCCUCCUCAUUCCCUACCUCCCUCCCUCCCCCUCCUCCAUCCUGCUCUUCCUCCUCCUCCUUUGUAUUUUGUGUACGCAUGCGUCGCAGUUGCACUCACGAGCCCUCUUGUACGUCUCUCUCUCUUGUUUCUUUUUUUUUCUUAUCUUUGUUGGAGCGCGUGCGUGCGUGCAUGUGAGGGGGGCUGCACGUGGCGUUCUCCGUUUCUCCCUGGCGCACUUCCGCCUCUCGCCACGGUCGCGCCGCGCACACAUCACGAAAACGUUAAACAGGUCAAGUAGGGGUGGUUCGCGGCGGGUGGAAGGUGAAAACAACAACAGCAACGAACGGUGACAACGAAGAAACAUGCAAGUAGCAGAGGGCGGCACGAGGCGGGUCCGCAGGGCCGGAGAAGACACGGCCCCGGUCAACUCCCUCUCUCCUCCCUCACCGGCACGCACACAGAGACGCGGAUGUGGACGAGCCGCGCUGAGUCAGUGACGGCGCUUGGUACGAUGUGUGCCGUGUGGGAGGGGGGAGAAGCCCAUGAU
rnacentral:misc_RNA from 1 species